GGAGUUUGGACCGUGUCUCAGUUCCAAUGUGGGGGACCUUCCUCUCAGAACCCCUACUGAUCGUCGCCUUGGUGGGCCGUUACCCCGCCAACAAGCUAAUCAGACGCAUCCCCAUCGCAUGCCUGUUUUCUUGCCCCUUCAUGCGGAAGGGCAAGGUAUCGGGAUUUAAUCCUCGUUUCCAAGGGCUGUUCCCGGGCGUGCGGCAGGUUGGAUACGCGUUACUCACCCAUUCGCCGGUCGUCAGCGAGGAAAGCAAGCUUCCCUCCUGUUACCCCUCGACUUGCAUGUGUUAAGCCUGUAGCUAGCGUUCAUC
rnacentral:rRNA from 1 species